ACACUGUUGGUGUAGUGGUAACAUAGAAGCUUCCCAGACACCGUUUGGUUGCCGAUGGGCAAGUCGAUUGCUUCUGCCAAGGGUUCGAUUCCCUUACAGUGUA
rnacentral:tRNA from 1 species